UGAGGAACAUGACCUUCGGCGGGGGGAUAGCCGGCCCAACGGCCGGGUAAUACCGCGUACGACCACAUGGGGACAUCCCUGAGUGGUGAAAGCAGCAAUGCGCCGAUGGAGUGCCUCGCGGCCUAUCAGCUAGUUGGGUGGGGUAACGGCUCACCAAGGCAACGGACGGGUAGCUGGUCUGAGAGGAUGGCCAGCCACAGUUGGGGACUGACGACGACCGGCCCAGACCUUCCCGGUAAGGGGACGGACCG
rnacentral:rRNA from 1 species